rnacentral:rRNA from 1 species
GGGGAUACCACUUGGGAAACAGGUGCUAAAUACCGGAUAGAAAGCAGAUCGCAUGAUCAGCUUUUAAAAGGCGGCGUAAAGCUGUCGCUAUGGGGAUGGGCCCCGCGGUGCAUUAGCUAGUUGGUAAGGUAAAGGCUUACCAAGGGCGGAUGAUGCAUAGCCCGAGUUGAGAGACUGAUCGGCCACAUUGGGGACUGAGACACGGCCCAAACUCCUACGGGAGGCAGCAGUAGGGAAUCUUCCACAAUGGACGCAAGUCUGAUGGAGCAGCGCCGCGUGAGUGAAGAAGGUUUUCGGAUCGUAAAGCUCUGUUGUUGGUGAAGAAGGAUAGAGGUAGUAACUGGCCCUUUAUUUGACGGUAAUCAACCAGAAAGUCACGGGCUAACUACGUGCCAGCAGCCGCGGUAAAU